CUCGGGUCCCCUUCCACACCGUGGAAGCUUUGUUCUUUCACUCUUUGCAAUAAAUCUUGCUACUGCUCACUCUUCGGGUCCAGGCUGCUUUUAUGAGCUGUAACACUCACCGCGAAGAUCUGCAGCUUCACUCCUGAGCCAGCGAGACCACGAACCCACCAGAAGGAAGAAACUCCAAACACAUCUGAACAUCAGAAGGGACAGACUCCAGACGUGCCACCUUAAGAGCUGUAACACCGCGAGGGUCCGCAGCUUCAUUGUUGAAGUGAGACCAAGAACCCACCAAUUCCGGACACAUUGGCCCUCCGAACCCUGAAGAGAUCAUCAUAUAUAUGUGCUGCCGAAGCGAGCACUCCUGAAGAGAUUAACUAAGAGUCUAGCACCUUUUAAGUUAGAAGAGACUGCCCACAUAGGGAGAGUGGCACAGAGGAGAGUAACAUCAAUCAACAGCGAAUAUGCACUUGAUCGCGGUCUAAUCAGCACCAGGCACCUCAGGGCAGCAGUAUUGUCAGACGCAUUGGAACCAGAGGGACUCCAUCUUGAAUAAGGUCUGGGUAAAAUGAGGCUAACACCUACUGGGCUGCAUUCCCAGGAGGUUAAGCAUUCUUAGUCACAGGACAAGAUAGGUCAGCAGGACAAGAUAGAGGUCAUAAAGACCCUGCUGAUAAAACAAUGCCAUAAAGAAGGCAGCCAAAACCUGCCAAAACCAAGGUGGUGAUGAAAGUGACCUCUAGUUGUCCUCACUGCUCACUAUACGCUAAUUAUAAUGCAUUAGCAUACUCAAAGACACUCCCAGCAGCACCACGACAGUUUACAAACGCCAUGGCAACAUUAGGAAGUUACCCUAUAUGGUCUAAAAGGGGAGGAACCCUCAGUUAGGGUAAAUCCCUGCCCUUUUCCUGGAAAACUCAUGAAUGAUCCACCCCUUGUUUAACAUAUAAUCAAGAAAUAACUAUACGUGUACUCAGUUGAACAUCCCGUGCCACUGCUCUGCCUAUGGAGUAGCCAUUCUUUUAUUCUUUUACUUCUCUAAUAAACUUGCUUUCACUUUACUUUAUGAACUCGCCCCAAAUUCUUUCUUGUGCAGGAUCCAGAACCUUCUCUUGGGGUCUGGAUUGGGACACCUUUCCUGUAACAGUAUUAGUCAUAACUAUUAUCUGAAAAAGUAUAUUUAUAUGGUACUUUACAAAUUCAAUUUUGCACAAUAGACUCUGACUUAUGUCAUUCUCACAAUCACCCCAUAAUGUCAAUCCUCCCAUUUCACAAUAAAGAAAUUGAGGCUCAGGCUGGAGACGGUGGCCCACACUUAUAAUCCCAGCACUUUGGGAGGCUGAGGCAAUGGGAUCAUUUGAGGAUCGGAGUUUGAAACCAGCAUGGGCAACAUGGUGAGAUUCCAGUUCUACAAAAAAAAAAAAUGUUUUUGGCCGGGCGCGGUGGC
rnacentral:lncRNA from 10 species